rnacentral:rRNA from 1 species
GCCGGGAUGACUGCACGCUCGAUGCCUGAUUAGCUAGUUGGUGAGGUAAAGGCUUACCAAGGCGACGAUCAGUAGCUGGUCUGAGAGGACGACCAGCCACACUGGGACUGAGACACGGCCCAGACUCCUACGGGAGGCAGCAGUGGGGAAUUUUGGACAAUGGGGGAAACCCUGAUCCAGCCAUGCCGCGUGAGUGAAGAAGGCCUUCGGGUUGUAAAGCUCUUUCAGCCGGAACGAAACGGUCACGGCUAAUACCUGUGACUACUGACGGUACCGGAAGAAGAAGCACCGGCUAACUACGUGCCAGCAGCCGCGGUAAUACGUAGGGUGCGAGCGUUAAUCGGAAUUACUGGGCGUAAAGCGUGCGCAGGCGGUUUUGUAAGUCAGAUGUGAAAUCCCCGGGCUUAACCUGGGAACUGCGUUUGAAACU